rnacentral:lncRNA from 1 species
UAUUUUCAACUUGUGGGAAAAAUGGUUGAAUGCAUUUUCAGUUUUCCAUAAAUAUAAAUUAUAUUACACAUUAGGGACAGCAAUACUGAACUCCAUUGGAACAAUAAUUGUUGACCAUAUCCUCUCCUCAAAUGAUGACACUCAACCGCAGCAGGAAUGAAAAUGAAGAUGAAAUUUCCUGCCAUGGAGCCCCUCUCCGAUCAUCGCCUGACAUACUCUGAUGGCGAGGAAAGAAAUGCAAGGAAAAGGUCGACAAGGUGAAACCGUGCACGAGACCUAUACAACACACGAGCAGGACAUUUUACCUGUGGCGUGCCUCGAGAAUCAGGUUUCAACUUUGGAAGAAAGUGAUGGAGAAACGCAGAUGUAAGAACAGCCAUGGAGCGAGCAAUGAGGCCAAACCUAUGAAGGGAAUGAAACAAAAUGAUGGGAAAAAAGGAGCAAAUCAAACUGUCAAGACAGCUCAAGAUUAUCGUGAAGACAAAAGAGAACUGGGCAAGCAGAAGUAUUGCAAAGUCUCAAAACCAUCUCGACCAGUUGAUGGAGAAGUUUCAAAAACCACUGUAUUUUUCAGUUUCAAAACCACAGUUUAUCAAAACGACAGUUCAGAACCACAGUUUCAAAAACCACAAAAACCACCAACAAAGAGCAAACAGUGUCCUACGACAAAAAUCACUGUAUCACCAACAAAAAGCAAACAGUGUCCAAUGACAAAAACCACUGUAUCACCAACAAAGAGCAAACAGUGUCCCAAGACAAAAAUCACCGGAGCUCAGAAUCCUGCUGAGAGCAAAGAAACACCUGGAGCUUCACCGAUUCGAGGGAAGAAGGUGACAGCUUUGAUUCCUCAAAUAAAAUAUGCUUGUAAGAUGCCGGUGAACAACUUCUAUCAGGCACAGAGACCCAAUUUUAGAGGCGGCUUCAAGGACAAUUCAAAUGAGUCGUAUGACCGUAAAAAGAAUGUACCAAGGUCUCUACAUGGGGAAGUGAAACAAAAACCUGUCUCUUUAAGUACACCCCUUUGCGCUGGGAGACAGCAACACAGUCGUCCCAAGGCUGGCCUGUCCCCCCAGUCUUCACCCGGUCAACAAUGUCAGCGAUUGAAAAAGAAAGGAAGCUUUUCUUUGAAAGAACGAGAAAACGAGAGCCAAAAAGAGUGCAUCACCUCUGAGAAGAGACACAAGGUAACUUCGAAUGUCACAACAAAAGGAAGUGAUGUGGAGGCUUCCACCAAUCAGCUAAAAGAGUACUCAAUCAGCCUCAAAUGA